UACGGGGGGGGCAAGCGUUGUUCGGAAUUACUGGGCGUAAAGGGCGCGUAGGCGGCCGCCUCAGUCAGACGUGAAAUGCCCCGGCUUAACCGGGGUCGGCGUCUGAUACUGGGUGGCUAGAGUUCGGGAGAGGAAUGUGGAAUUCCAGGUGUAGCGGUGAAAUGCGUAGAUAUCUGGAGGAACACCGGUGGCGAAGGCGGCAUUCUGGACCGCAACUGACGCUGAGGCGCGAAAGCGUGGGGAGCAAACAGG
rnacentral:rRNA from 1 species